UCCCUGGCAGUCCUGUGGUUAAGACACCACACUUUCACUGCUGAGGGCCUGGGUUUGAUCCCUGGUCAGGGAA
rnacentral:tRNA from 1 species